rnacentral:rRNA from 1 species
ACUCCUACGGGAGGCAGCAGUGGGGAAUUUUGGACAAUGGGCGAAAGCCUGAUCCAGCAAUGCCGCGUGUGUGAAGAAGGCCUUCGGGUUGUAAAGCACUUUUGUCCGGAAAGAAAUCCUUGGCUCUAAUACAGCCGGGGGAUGACGGUACCGGAAGAAUAAGCACCGGCUAACUACGUGCCAGCAGCCGCGGUAAUACGUAGGGUGCAAGCGUUAAUCGGAAUUACUGGGCGUAAAGCGUGCGCAGGCGGUUUGCUAAGACCGAUGUGAAAUCCCCGGGCUCAACCUGGGAACUGCAUUGGUGACUGGCAGGCUAGAGUAUGGCAGAGGGGGUAGAAUUCCACGUGUAGCAGUGAAAUGCGUAGAGAUGUGGAGGAAUACCGAUGGCGAAGGCAGCCCCCUGGGCCAAUACUGACGCUCAUGCACGAAAGCGUGGGGAGCAAACAGGAUUAGAUACCCUGGUAGCUACGAG